rnacentral:rRNA from 1 species
UACAGAGGGUGCGAGCGUUAUUCGGAAUUACUGGGCGUAAAGCGUGCGUAGACGGCUAUCUAAGUCGCGUGUGAAAGCCCCCGGCUCAACUGGGGAGGGUCACGCGAUACUGAUCGACUCGAAGGCAGGAGAGGGUAGUGGAAUUCCCGGUGUAGUGGUGAAAUGCGUAGAUAUCUGGAGGAACACCGGUGGCGAAGGCGGCAUCCUGGACCAACACUGACGCUGAGGAGCGAAAGCCAGGGGAGCAAACGGG